rnacentral:rRNA from 1 species
CCUACGGGAGGCAGCAGUGAGGAAUAUUGGUCAAUGGGCGGAAGCCUGAACCAGCCAAGUCGCGUGAGGGAGUAAGGCCCUACGGGUCGUAAACCUCUUUUGCCGGGGAGCAGUGCCCAGCUCGUGAGCUGGGAGGGAGCGUCCCCGGAGAAAAAGCAUGGGCUAACUCCGUGCCAGCAGCCGCGGUAAUACGGGGGAUGCGAGCGUUAUCUGAUUUUGUUGGUUUAAAGGGUGCGUAGGCGGGCCUUCAGGUCAGCGGUAAAAUUGGGGGGCUCAACCCCGCCGGGCCGUCGGAACCGGGGGCUUUGAGUACCGGAGAAGUACGCGGAAUGCGUGGUGUAGCGGUGAAAUGCAUAGAUAUCACGCAGAACCCCGAUUGCGAAGGCAGCGUACCGGCCGGUCACUGACGCUGAGGCACGAAAGCGCGGGUAUCGAACAGGAUUAGAUACCCUGGUAGUC